GGUUUUUGUUAAAAGCAAGUCGUACCUGCUGGCCGGGGCUCAGUUCGGACUCAGCACGCGACGCGUUCAGAACGAAAGAAAAACCAACGUAACGCAACGACUAUAAGACCAUAAAAAACGGGUAUAAAAGAAAAGACUCUGCUGUAACGCUUCUGGUUAAAGGAUGAGCGAGCCCUCGAGGGUCAGUGAAGUGCCACAAUAAACAACAACAACAAAGUCAAAGUCAAAACAAACAUCAAUUGUUGAACAAAAUUUUUGUUAUUGUGUCCCACCGCUCGAACGCUUUAAGGCGGCUGGAAAAUUCACAUGGAAAAUUCUCGGCUCUAGAAAGGGGAUUGGAUUGGUUAAAAGAAAAGAAAAGAACCUCACCUUGGCCAGGCUUUGCGGUUCAUUAAAAGUGUGGCAGAACUUUGGCACCGCCACCGAGCAAUAAACAACAAAA